GCCGGGGUGGCCGAGCGGCCCAAGGCGUGGGACUGGAGACCGUGGCCCGACAUCCCAUCCCCGAAAGGGGGCCCGGGUUCAAAUCCCGGCCCCGGCG
rnacentral:tRNA from 1 species